rnacentral:rRNA from 1 species
UACGGAGGGUGCAAGCGUUAAUCGGAUUUACUGGGCUUAAAGGGUGCGUAGGUGGCCGCGUAAGUCGGUUGUGAAAUCCCUGGGCUCAACCUGGGAAUUGCUUCCGAUACUGCGUGGCUAGAGUUCGGUAGAGGGUGGCGGAACUCGCGGUGUAGCGGUGAAAUGCGUAGAUAUCGGGAAGAACACCGAUGGCGAAGGCAGGUCUCUGGGCUGACACUGACGCUCAUGCUCGAAAGCGUGGGGAGCAAACAGG